rnacentral:rRNA from 1 species
UACGAAGGGGGCUAGCGUUGCUCGGAAUCACUGGGCGUAAAGCGCACGUAGGCGGAUUGCUAAGUCAGGGGUGAAAUCCUGGAGCUCAACUCCAGAACUGCCUUUGAUACUGAAGAUCUUGAGUUCGGGGAGAGGUGAGUGGAACUGCGAGUGUAGAGGUGAAAUUCGUAGAUAUUCGCAAGAACACCAGUGGCGAAGGCGGCUCACUGGCCCGAUACUGACGCUGAGGCACGAAAGCGUGGGGAGCAAACAGGG